rnacentral:lncRNA from 1 species
UAUAUGGCCAUGGCAGAUAACAGGCAAAGGUUUGUGCCCUUACCAGAUGAUCGUUUACCGGGACGAGGCCAACAACUGGCUCAUCCAGAAGCAGUCCUUCUUGUGAAUCCUGUGGAGCCAGAAUUUAAAGGAGAGGUACAAUACUUUUUCAAGUUUAUUGAUUUUAUCUGUUGGAGGCUUCAACCAUCGCGAAUCAUUGGAAAAGCAAUUGUUGUUCAAUGAGGGAACGCUAAUCCUUUUAGGACAUUUGAACACCAUCACUUUUGAGUGACCCAAUCCCCGGGCUUCAGAGGGACAUUGUUUCUCCCCAGCAAUCACACCCUCAACAUGACGCUCUCGUUGCACAGACCCCAUGAACACGGCAAUAAUACAACUUCUUGGUUUGGGAGUUAAAUCUCAUCUGAAAAUCGAAUAUUGUCCAGUCAGGGAAGGAUAAACCUUUUAAUGCAUUCGACCGCCAUUAUUUGAGUGACCUAUUCAUGCACUUAAGAAUGGCAUUGUUGCUCCCCAACAGUGUCAUAUUCUUAAAUGUGUAUAUUCACCUUUUAUUUUGCUCUUUAAUUAACUCAGGUGGAUGAUAAGUAUCAGUACUCGUGCGAUAACCAAGAUCUUAAACUUCACGGCUGGAUAUGUAUGGAUCCACCUGUUGGGUUUUGGCAGAUCAGUCCUAGCAGUGAGUUCCGAUCAGGAGGACCUCUCAAACAAGAUCUUACUUCACAUGUUGGCCCAACUACUCUCGCUGUAAGUAUGUACUAACAAGUAUUUGAUUAGUUAUAAAAGCUGCAUAACUCGAUCAAUACGUUAUACUGUAUGGUAUUUUCAGAUGUUUAUUAGUGCUCACUAUGCCGGGAUCGAUCUGGUGCCUAAAUUUGGGGAAGGUGAGCCAUGGAAGAAAGUCUUUGGUCCAGUUUUCAUGUAUCUCAAUUCUAAUAUGGAAGGUGACAACCGGCUUUCUCUCUGGGAGGAUGCAAAGAAACAGGUUCAAUAUAUGUAUAUAUCAACGCCUGAAUAUGCAUGACACAUAUGACCGUAAAUUCAUAUAUAAUAAUGAAUCAGAUGCUGGAAGAAGUUCAAAGUUGGCCAUAUAGUUUUCCAGAAUCUGAAGAUUUUCCACCAGCAGCUAAACGUGGCAAUGUUAGUGGCAGGUUAUUAGUCAAAGACAGGUAACUGCAUUUCUAGGUUGAUUUUCAUUCGGAUUUUGAAUAGAUCAAUUAAUAUCAUUGGGACGCUAUUUCUAGUCUGAACUUUUUGAAGGGAUUGUAAAUCUUAUCAAAUUCAGGUAUAUUAGUCAUAAUUAUAUUCCAGCAAGAGGUGCAUAUGUAGGCUUGGCUCCACCGGGAGUUGGAUCUUGGCAAAGAGAAUGCAAGGUGAUUUUUUCAUGAAUACCAUAUCCUGUGGAUUAUUUAUUAUAAAAUACAAACGUACGAGGGGACGUUCCUCUAGCUAAUGAAGGCACAAUCUCAUGUACCCUUUUCAUGCUUUGCUUAAUCAUCCGUCUUAUCACAAACUUCGUAGGCUCCUCAUAAUUGUCCUCCUUGGAGUACGUCAAUAUAGGUCUAAAACCAAUUUCGGGAUUCUCCAUCUCUCGAUGCAUAUAUGCAAAUGAGUGAAAGUUGUACAUGUCGGGAAUUUACUUAAUCAUGCACAAAGGAUAAUAAAACAAAUUUCAAUUCCCACCAAAAAUCUGCUCUGUGUUUAAAUAACAAUUAUACCUUUCUUGAAAUCUGCAAACUGAUUUGCGUUUCUUUUGUUUUAACAAUCUUGAUCUGCCAUCCACAACUGUUUAAUUGUCCAGCUUCCAAUGAAAUUUCACACAGGAAACAAGAUUAAGUGAGAACCAAGUUUACUUUUUUGAUCUGCCAUCUACAGCUGUUUAAUUGUACAAAUUUUUGAACCCCAUUUAAUUCAUUUCCUCCUGUAUACGGUCUUUUAGAAUAUUUAUAAUAAUUGUGGGAAUAUUCAUGAUCCAGAAAAUACUUCAUGUACAAACUCCUCCAUAGAAAUCUAAGUUUGACAAUACGGUUCCUAAAAUGAUAGAUAAGCCAAUUUUUCGUUUCAAUGUAUCUUAAGUUGCAAAUGAGAGCAAUAAGAGAUUUAAGAGGACUAGAGGAGCAUUGCUUAGUUUUUGGUAUGACAUUUAACAAAUGCCCACCAUUUCAAAAACUGUAUAAUAAGUUUUGUUUUGCUACAGGACUAUCAAUUCUGGACAAGAGCAGAUGAAGAAGGCUAUUUUUCCAUUAAAAACAUCCUUACCGGGGACUAUAGUCUCCAUGCAUGGGUACCGGGAUUCAUAGGAGAUUACUUAAAUAAAAAUUCUAUUACCAUAACAUCAGGUUGCUUCAUUAAUAUUGGCAACCUUGUCUACAAGCCCCCAAGAAAUGGACCAACCUUGUGGGAAAUCGGCAUCCCUGACCGUUCUGCUAGAGAAUUUUACAUCCCCGAUCCCAACCCUAAAUAUAUCAACAAACUUUAUAUCAAUCAUGACAGGUUAGUAUUCCUUGUAACAUUUUAUUUAUGUAGCCGAUCCCAAAGUUAUUGACAAUAAGGUUUAAUUUGUUAUGUUUUUAUCUGUUCUCAAUUUCUAAGACACAGUAAAUUUACUUGCGGAUGUGUAUCCUAUCCUCAGGUUUAGACAGUAUGGAUUAUGGGAAAGAUACACAGAGUUGUAUCCUAACGGUGAUUUGGUCUACACAGUUGGUCAGAGCGAUUACACGAAAGAUUGGUUUUUUGCACAAGUUACCAGGUUAACGUAAUUUCUAAUCAUCUUAAAUUUACUCAGUUUCAAUACGUAUCUGUAUUGGAAUAUAAUCAUGUUUUGGGAAAAUUCUAACUAUCGAUGUGGAUUAAAAUCAGAAUUUUGGUAGACUUUGAUAAAACCUGACGAAAUUUAUGAUUGAAAAAUUAUGUGUCCUAUAAGAUAUAUAAUAAAAUUAAUUAUUGACUUUGACUUAGAUUUUAUUCCACACCAAACAUGGGUGGAGAGAACUUUGCCCACAUAGCUGAUAUUUCGAAAAGCAGAAAUAACUUGAAACUCCUAAGCCUAUGGCUUCCUUUUUCCUUGUUAUUUCUCUUCAAUAAGACUGCAUCUGUAGGGAAUAAUGGUCUGCUACUUGAGAUCUCUGUUUCUCUCGUCCGUAGCAAGAAAACUUAACCAUGCUGAUAAGGCAUUAAUUUUGCAAGAUUUCAUGUCUCUCAGAAAAAAAGAUGAGAAAACAUACCAAGGCACUACAUGGCAGAUUAAGUUUAAUCUAGACAUGGUCAACCCACGUGGAACAUAUAACUUGAGAUUGGCUCUUGCAUCUGCAACUCAAGCCAAAUUAGAGGUCAGCACGUGCAUUUUUCAUCUUAUCGCCGAAUUACAUCAUAUAUUGAGAAUGAUGAAUAAUGCUAUUUAUGAACAUUUGUAGGUUCGAGUGAACAUUUCAGACCAUAAUCCACCACUAUUUUCGAGCGGCAUAAUAGGAAAUGAUAACGCAAUAGCGAGAUACGGGAUUCAUGGUCUCUAUUGGCUCUUUAAUGUGGACAUAAGAGGUACUCUACUCGUUCGAGGGAACAACGCAAUUUAUUUGACACAAGCAAAUGCCACAAGCCCUUUCCAAGGGAUCAUGUAUGAUUAUAUUCGUUUAGAAGGCCCACAGCGUUGAUUUGUCUCUAAAUUGAGGGAAGAUUCAAACUUUAUUUAUACUUCAGAAUUAAUGUCACCUUCUUAAUAAUGAAAUUUUUAAUUUGAAGACAGAUUAAUUCAUGUCCUGUUCUUAGGGUUAUGUCUAUUUUUAUACUAUUGAAUGUUAUGUGAAUAGAGCAUAAAUAUUGGACUCUGGAGUGGGUGUAGAGUGCCUAC